UACCUGGAGGACUAGUGGUUAGGCCACAGUUCUCACCGCCACGGCCCGGGUUCGAUUCCCGGCCAGGGAA